CCACCUUUGACAUGGCAGGAAGGCUCCAGAGAUGGGGCUGUGCUCGAAAGAGAACCUGCACACAGGUGCUGCAUGGCUGUCGUCAGCUCGUGUCGUGAGAUGUUGGGUUAAGUCCCGCAACGAACGCAACCCUUGCCAUUAGUUGCUACGAAAGGGCACUCUAAUGGGACUGCCGGUGACAAGCCGGAGGAAGGUGGGGAUGACGUCAAGUCCUCAUGGCCCUUAUAGGUGGGGCUACACACGUCAUACAAUGGCCGGUACAAAGGGUAGCCAACCCGCGAGGGGGAGCCAAUCCCAUAAAGCCGGUCGUAGUCCGGAUCGCAGUCUGCAACUCGACUGCGUGAAGUCGGAAUCGCUAGUAAUCGUGGAUCAGCAUGUCACGGUGAAUACGUUCCC
rnacentral:rRNA from 1 species